rnacentral:lncRNA from 1 species
UAGAUCUGUAGGUGCUCUGGAAGCUUGUUUUAUUUCUUUUCCCACCCCUGAUUGAUGUAAACAGAGGUUACCCAAUGCUGGCCCAACCGUUGGUUUAAUCAAGUGCUCGGCACUAGAAUAUUGCAGCCACCCGUAAUUUCAGCUGACCUGUUUGUUUUAUCGGGACAUUACUUUUACUAGAAACUAUGGCCAUACACUGCGUCCAGCAUUCGACUCCCAAUUUUCUUUCGCAACUUGCCAGUUUAUCUAUUCAAGUUCAGAUCAACCCGCUCCGAGUGUGUAUGUUUAUAUCAGUAAAAAGCCUAGUUUAUUCAAAGCAAAAAAAAAAAAAAAAGACCUAGUUUACUGCACUCAGAGCAUGUGAACGGCAUCGGUCAUUGUGCCAGUCAAUGAGCUGAUCAGAUUCUUAGCCUAAAAUAAUCGCCACAUACCGACAAAACCAAUGUUAAAUAAUUGUCACCUGCCAUUGGUUGCAGCACAUCGCACGUUCGGAAAGCUUGUGCAGUCUCUUAUUUAAUUUUU